rnacentral:rRNA from 1 species
CAAUAUAUAUAGAGCAUUGUUUCCCGAUAAAAAAAGAUCUACUCUUUACUAAAAUAAUAGUUAAUUUUAUAUCUCAAUGUUGAACGAUUGUGAGUAAAGUAUUGAGUAGAAGUGAAAUGCUUACAAUUUUUUUGAUAUCUGGAUAGAGUAUAAAAGAAUAUAGUUUUUAGGUAGUCGAGGAGUUAUAAGAUUCUUCGAAAUGUAAAAUUGUAAAUAAAACAGUAUAUAGGAAUAAUUUUCUCACUACUGAAUAUAUACUAACAUUUAUAUUUAAAUCUAUUUAAUUAAUUACACUCUUUGCAGACUAUAAUACAAAGUGUCAGUUAAUAAUGUUUAAAUUAGUAUUAUAUAUUUAUAUUUUGAUGAGGAACUCGGCAAAAAUUUUCUUCAACUGUUUAUCAAAAACAUAGCUUGAAGGAAUAUUUAUUUUAAGUGAUUUCUGCCCAGUGAAAAUUUAACGGCCGCAGUACACUGACUGUGCUAAGGUAGCAUAAUAAUUUGGCUUUUAAUUGAAGUCGGGUAUGAAAGGGACAAUGAAGAAUAUCUGUCUUUUUUAAAUAAAUAAAAAUUACUUAGAAAGUGAAAAUUCUUUCAUUGUAGUACGUCAGACGAGAAGACCCUAAGAAUUUUUAUAAAAUUUAGUGCUAUACUUAUUAAAUUUUUGUUGGGGCAACAACUUUGGUAAACCAAAGUGUACUAGAUACUUACACAUCAUACAGUUUAAGAUUCGACGAAUAUUACCUUAGGGAUAACAGCAUAAUUAUUAUAUUAGAUUGUGACCUCGAUGUUGGACUAAGGACUUGAUUAAAUAGCCUUUAAUUAAGCUAGUUCUGUUCGAACUUUAAACCUUA